rnacentral:rRNA from 1 species
AAUAUUGGACAAUGGGGGCAACCCUGAUCUAGCCAUGCCGCGUGUGUGAAGAAGGUCUUCGGAUUGUAAAGCACUUUAUGUUGGGAGGAGGGGCUCUAGGUUAAUACCCUGAAGUUUUGACGUUACCAACAGAAUAAGCACCGGCUAACUCUGUGUCAGCAGCCGCGGUAAUACAUAGGGUGCAAGCGUUAAUCGGAAUUACUGGGCGUAAAGCGAGCGUAGGUGGCUUGAUAAGUCAGAUGUUAAAUCCCCGGGCUUAACCUGGGAACUGCUUUCAUAACUGCUGAGCUAGAGUACGGUAGAGAGUAGUGGAAUUUCCUGUGUAGCGGUGAAAUGCGUAGAUAUAGGAAGGAACACCAGUGGCGAAGGCGACUACCUGGACUGAUACUGACACUGAGGUGCGAAAGCGUGGGGAGCAAAC